AACGAACGCUGGCGGCAGGCCUAACACAUGCAAGUCGAGCGGACCUUUCGGGGUCAGCGGCGGACGGGUGAGUAACGCGUGGGAAUAUGCCCUUCUCUACGGAAUAGUCCUGGGAAACUGGGGGUAAUACCGUAUACGCCCUUUGGGGGAAAGAUUUAUCGGGGAAGGAUGAGCCCGCGUUGGAUUAGGUAGUUGGUGGGGUAAUGGCCUACCAAGCCGACGAUCCAUAGCUGGUUUGAGAGGAUGAUCAGCCACACUGGGACUGAGACACGGCCCAGACUCCUACGGGAGGCAGCAGUGGGGAAUCUUAGACAAUGGGGGCAACCCUGAUCUAGCCAUGCCGCGUGAGUGAUGAAGGCCUUAGGGUUGUAAAGCUCUUUCAGCUGGGAAGAUAAUGACGGUACCAGCAGAAGAAGCCCCGGCUAACUCCGUG
rnacentral:rRNA from 1 species